AUGUUUAGGAAAAUGUACCAAGGUGGUUCUUCAAGGAAACAAGGACCCAGGCUUGCAAUGCGUGAUGCUGAUGAUGAGCCACCAAGGGACGCUCCAGUGCGGCCUUGUGAAUGGCUUUCAGAGGACUUCAUGGACCGAGUAGGAAUUAAGGAAGAAUUUAACGCAUAUUUGCGUAAUGCUGAUCUUGUGAGCUUCGAGGCAGAAAAGUGCCGUCAGUACCACUAUCUCACUGGUUCCUUUGUGAGGAGGUUUGAAUUUUCAUCUUCACACAAUUCUCAAACUGUCCUGUUUGAUCUUUAUGAAAAUUCUUAA
rnacentral:rRNA from 1 species